CAGUGGUUGGCCCACUCUAUUAAUGCCCAUAGGUUUGCUUCAGCAUCCCCAAUCUCUUCUAGAAGCAUGUGGGCUUUGUGUAUAAAUGGUUUACAACUUUUGAGCCUCUUAAGCCUCCAUCUCUUCCAGUCUUCAUUU